rnacentral:piRNA from 1 species
UGGGAUUUGAUAUGAGGAAAUAUGACAGGU